GACGAACGCUGGCGGCGUGCUUAACACAUGCAAGUCGAACGGAAAGGCCCCCACCUUGGUGGGGGUGCUCGAGUGGCGAACGGGUGAGUAACACGUGGGUGAUCUGCCCUGUACUUCGGGAUAAGCUUGGGAAACUGGGUCUAAUACCGGAUAGGACCAUGGUUUAGUGUCUCAUGGUGGAAAAAUUAUUGUUUUGGUGCAGGAUGAGCUCGCGGCCUAUCAGCUUGUUGGUGGGGUAAUGGCCUACCAAGGCGUCGACGGGUAGCCGGCCUGAGAGGGUGGACGGCCACAGUGGGACUGAGAUACGGCCCAGACUCCUACGGGAGGCAGCAGUGGGGAAUAUUGCACAAUGGGCGCAAGCCUGAUGCAGCGACGCCGCGUGGGGGAUGACGGCCUUCGGGUUGUAAACUCCUUUCGUUAGGGACGAAGCCACACCUUUUUGGGGUGUGGUGACGGUACCUUUGUGAAGAAGCACCGGCUAACUACGUG
rnacentral:rRNA from 1 species